rnacentral:rRNA from 1 species
UACGUAGGGUGCAAGCGUUAAUCGGAAUUACUGGGCGUAAAGCGUGCGCAGGCGGGUUUGUAAGUUUGUCGUGAAAGCCCCGGGCUCAACCUGGGAAUGGCGAUGAAGACUGCAAGGCUUGAAUCUGGCAGAGGGGGGUAGAAUUCCACGUGUAGCAGUGAAAUGCGUAGAGAUGUGGAGGAACACCGAUGGCGAAGGCAGCCCCCUGGGUCAAGAUUGACGCUCAUGCACGAAAGCGUGGGGAGCAAACAGG